rnacentral:lncRNA from 1 species
AUUUUCUCUCCUAAGAAACCCCAGUCGCUCUCUCCCUUUGUGAGUCCUAAAGGAAAACUCCAUAUGGGGGGAGGAGGGAGAAGCGACAAUGCUUCUCCUCCCCCUCCUCUCUUCUCGUCUUUUUCUUUUAUGUUAGUGAAUAAGUCCACUGGGGCGUUUUGAAAAAAAGUCCCUUAUGGUGGUUUCUUUUGAGCACUGGUUAGAUUAAAGUUCUCCAUCACUCAUUUUAGUCUAUGUUCUCAAUCAAAUCAUACCAAAAUCCGCUCCCUGACGUCGCUCAUGUUCAUUAAAUUUGAUUCUACAUCGUCAUUGACAGAGGUUGCUUCAAAUCACCCAAUUAUUCUUUGGCAAAGUUGUUGUUUUCGUUUAUUUGUUCACUCUUAUGCGCAGGUAGAUCGUUGGAAAUCAUAUUUUCCCUAGAUCUGUUACGGAUGCGGUAGUGGGUGAGGCCGCGACGGUGCUUCAUCAGGUGGUGGUGGUAGGGUUAGUCUAGGCUCAUGGGUUAUUUUAGAGUUUUGGUUAUGUUGACUUUGUGGGCUUUGUUUGGGCUUAUGAUUAACUUGGUUCAGUUUUUUGUUGAUUUAUAAUCAAAAGCAGACAUUCGGCUUCAAUGGGAGGGAUUCGAAACCCGUUGGAUGUACUUUCUGGCUGGAGGCAAGUCAAACUCCUAGCAGAGAUUAAGCUCACCUUUCGAGUAUUGGGACACCUCGUAAUAUUUACCAAAAAAUUAGACAUGUAUGGGACGUCGACCAAACUUGUCCCUAUCAUAAGUGGCACAAAACAUUUGGCUCAAGUACCUUAAAUUGACAUUUUUGUAUGUUUGUGAGUUUGGAAGUAAUUGAUGUAGAA